UUUUUUAUUUCACCAUUGAUUCUCUACUGUAGUUGGUUUCUGUGGCGCCCCUGAGAGGACACAUUCUGGAGGAAAACAGAGAAGCCUCGUGUCUUCACUACUCCGCUCUCCACCUGCUUUUACAGUGUGGAGACCGGUCCAGGGUGUAACCCUCCUCUGGCCCAGUGUCAGCUGGGAUCGGCUCCAGUCCUCCGUGACCAGAGUUCAGAUCAACUUCUGACUGCUGACUCCUCCCAAAGGUCAACUUCACUGUGACAUGUCAGUAGGACACCACCACCAUCAUCUAUUUUACAACAAACUGUAAAUACAUCCUGGCUUAAACACAGUUUCAAAAUCAAACAGGCUGACUUUUGUUCCAGUUUAAUCCAAAAUUAAAUCCACCAACGCAUUAAUGUUGCCAAACUGUCAGAUUUAGAAUAGAAGCUUUGCGUGCAAAGUGCAUGAUUCCACCUCCCAUUUCUUUUUUGGUGUGCUGGUAAACAUGAAAAGAAAGAUUUCAUGGAUUUAAUGGAAUGUUUGUACAGCCGCUAACACAAUCAAAUGACGUUUAGUGUUGACGUUUGCAGGCGUCAUCUUUUUGUUUCUUCAUUUUUAGAAACUACAUAACUGUCUAGGCUGUGGUAUAAAUGUGUCUCAUUCAUCAUUCUGAUUUA